rnacentral:lncRNA from 1 species
GCAUCUUAACUUCGGUGACAGCCCCUUUUUCUCGCCAAUCGAAAUCCUCCGGCAGUCCAUCCACCUUCAACGGCGGUGCCACAUCUCUGACGCCAUUGUUCCACGGGAAGCCGCCAUUGACACCGGUGUAGUGCCGUUGAAACUCGUCCUCGGUUAGAUCGGAGAACUGCGUGACGCCAUGGAUGGCGGUGGGGUCGAGCGCCUGGUUCUCCGCCGCUCUCAGCAUGUUUCCGGCGAAAAUCUCCAAACGCUGUAAAUACUCUUCCCUGGUGGAGUACUUCUUCCCGUAGUUCUCCAUGAAGACAUUGAACUUCUUCUCCGUUCGCAGAAGUUGGUUGUCCUGGAGCUUCAACUUUUUGGCUAUGUCGUGAACCGUGGUUUGGCGAGCAGAGGAUAGGGUUAGAGCGAAGAGAACGAGUGAAAUACGUGCGAAGCACGUGAGGGCAUGACCUCGCUUUGCCACCAUGUUCGUGCGUGC